CGGGUGAGUAGCGCGUGAGUAACCUGCCCUGGAGUGGGGACAACAGUUGGAAACGACUGCUAAUACCGCAUAAGCCCACGGAUCCGCAUGGAUCUGCGGGAAAAGGAUUUAUUCGCUUCAGGAUGGACUCGCGUCCAAUUAGCUAGUUGGUGAGGUAACGGCCCACCAAGGCGACGAUUGGUAGCCGGACUGAGAGGUUGAACGGCCACAUUGGGACUGAGACACGGCCCAG
rnacentral:rRNA from 1 species